rnacentral:rRNA from 1 species
AUUGAACGCUGGCGGAAUGCUUUACACAUGCAAGUCGAACGGCAGCACGGGGGCGACCCUGGUGGCGAGUGGCGAACGGGUGAGUAAUACAUCGGAACGUGCCCAGUCGUGGGGGAUAACGUAGCGAAAGUUACGCUAAUACCGCAUACGAUCUACGGAUGAAAGCGGGGGACCGUAAGGCCUCGCGCGAUUGGAGCGGCCGAUGUCAGAUUAGGUAGUUGGUGAGGUAAAGGCUCACCAAGCCGACGAUCUGUAGCUGGUCUGAGAGGACGACCGGCCACACUGGGACUGAGACACGGCCCAGACUCCUACGGGAGGCAGCAGUGGGGAAUUUUGGACAAUGGGCGCAAGCCUGAUCCAGCCAUUCCGCGUGCAGGACGAAGGCCUUCGGGUUGUAAACUGCUUUUGUACGGAACGAAAAGGCUCUGGUUAAUACCUGGGGCUCAUGACGGUACCGUAAGAAUAAGCACCGGCUAACUACGUGCCAGCAGCCGCAGUAA